GGGUGGGGACUUUACUUUGGGCCUCCACGAGGCUACAUGAGAAGCUAAAACCUAGAUGCUGGAAGUUUCUAAGCGUAACUAGGGAAGGAACUGGACUGAGAGGGCUUCUAUGACGUAAGCAGAGCAUGGAUGAUGUCACAGAGAGAACGGCGGAGGUUGCGCUUCUCUUCCACUUGCAGGCGCUAGACUACCUUGAAAGUGGGUUCACUAUCUUCACAGCGGGGUGUGAAAGCCAGUUCAGCUCCUGAACCCCACAAUUGUUCAACAGCCUUUUGAUGCCUGAUCGGUUUCAGAAGACAGAAUCUGGACGACAUGGACAUUUUCUUUCGAGAUUCCUCCAGCAGAGGUGAAGUCAGACGUUGACAGCGACAUCUUAACAGGUCAAUGUGCGCAGUUCACCAGAAGCGACGGGUCCAAAAAGAUCGGCAAAGUCAUUUACCAAGUCCCAGCUAAGCCUUCCAUGUACUUCAUCAAGUUUGAUGGCGACGUCCACAUCCACGUCUAUAAUCUGAUGGAAAAGAUCUGUUAA
rnacentral:lncRNA from 1 species